rnacentral:rRNA from 1 species
GUAGUCAUAUGCUUGUCUCAAAGAUUAAGCCAUGCAUGUCUAAGUAUAAGCAAACUAUACGGUGAAACUGCGAAUGGCUCAUUAAAUCAGUUAUCGUUUAUUUGAUAGUACCUUACUACAUGGAUACCUGUGGUAAUUCUAGAGCUAAUACAUGCUGAAAACCUCGACUUCGGAAGGGGUGUAUUUAUUAGAUAAAAAACCAAUGCCCUUCGGGGCUCCUUGGUGAUUCAUAAUAACUUAACGAAUCGCAUGGCCUUGCGCCGGCGAUGGUUCAUUCAAAUUUCUGCCCUAUCAACUUUCGAUGGUAGGAUAGUGGCCUACCAUGGUGGCAACGGGUAACGGGGAAU